rnacentral:rRNA from 1 species
CAGUAGCCGCGGUAAUACGAAGGGGGCGAGCGUUGCUCGGAAUGACUGGGCGUAAAGGGCGCGUAGGUGGUACGGACAGUCAGAUGUGAAAUUCCCGGGCUUAACCUGGGGGCUGCAUUUGAUACGUGUUGUCUAGAGUGAGGAAGAGGGUCGUGGAAUUCCCAGUGUAGAGGUGAAAUUCGUAGAUAUUGGGAAGAACACCGGUGGCGAAGGCGGCGACCUGGUCCUUUACUGACGCUGAGGCGCGAAAGCGUGGGGAGCAAACAGGAUUAGAUACCCCCGUAGUCCCUGUCUCUUAUAC